CCCCCCCCCCCCCCCCCCCCCCCCCCCCCCCCCCCCCCCCCCCCCCCAUAUACAGGUUUUAUUGUACAGUACUUACAAUAAUUAAUGUCAUUGUAUCUGUAUGUGCUCCAUCAUUCUUCUGAGUCAGUGAUUCCACAUACCAUAGCGGGUGAGGGCAGAGGGGAAGAGACGGAGGGAAGUGCGAGAAAUUUAUUAGGGGUAAAGUAACUUUCGGGCUACCCUGUAUAAUGUAUAUGAAUGAUCUUUACAUGUGAUUGGAGUGAGUGUUGUACCCGAGGAUGCUGCUUUGAAUCAUCUGGUAGUUCAAAAACAUUAUUAGCAAAAAAAUGAUGGUUAUAAUUACUUGUAUUCUACUGUGAUUCCGUUUCAUCUGUAUGACAAUGUCGACAUUCUGACUUUUCAGAAGGAUUCAAGAAAUAUCCUUUUAUAAAACAAAUUCAAAAUGUAUUGUUUGGUCCUUUGUUGUGCUUGGAUAACAAUUCUUUAUUUGGUUAAAUUGCAAUGUGAAGUUACAAAACAAAACACCCAUCCUUAAAUGUCAAAACACCCAUCAGUAGCUUGCUCUAAGUUACUUCCAAGCAUUUGAUUGCUCUCUGUUCACUGCUUGUCUAUGCAGACCUUUUUCAUUUAUCUUUUGAUGUCGAGUCCUCGUGUAUGUGGUCAGAUUUACUACAUCACGGAGCAGCAGGAUGUGCGACAGGGCUGUCUCAAAUGGACGUGGGUUACAUUCCCGCUCUCCCAAACCACCUGCGGAGCAAGAUAUAGAGCUUCGUAUCACAGUGGGAAAUGACUAUUUUCAUAAAGAAUCAAAAUCCCGUCGCCUGCCUUCUGUCCAUGCUCGUCUUGGUCCACCAGUUGAUGAAUUGGUCAGGGAAAAAAGUCCGUUCUCUGAAUCUAAUCUCUCACCAAAAGAACUUCAAAAUACAUUUUCCCAUUUUCACCACAGCUCAAAAUCUCAUUUGAGUCCUUCUAUUUACCAAGAACGUGUCUAUUCUCCCCCUUCCUCGCAACGACAUCGCAAUGACUAUGAUGCCAAUUUGGAUGAGCUGCAAAUGGCCAACUUCAUUCGGCAGCAGGAGGAUGAGGCGAGAGUGAGCAUCCAGCGGCAGGUUUCAGAGGCCCAGGAAGAUGGGAUGAAAGCGCGUUUACCUCUAAAUAAACGUUACUUUUCCCAAUGCAGUCCUCCAGGUAGUGGGUAUGUCGACCCACUCGAACAUUCACCAACGGAGCUACAGCAUUCAAUUUUUAUGGAUGACAGCACUGCUCAGAAGUCACCGACCCCUACUGACAAAGAUCCAUUUGAGUGGUAGCCGACCGGUACGAUCCUUCAGACACGUGAAGUGCAAACCUUGGAUUGCAGUCGUUCGAGUACGCGCUGGGUUCGGCACCACGAACAGCAUACGUACAUCAAAGGUGCGUGUACCCCCGACAAUGUUCACUUUCUAAUCCAAACGUUUGUAUUGUACAUUCCGUGAAGUUGGAUAUAAUGAUGAUCUUCCUACACAUUUGUACAAUAAAUGCAUGCCCUGGAUGAGGCAACAGAUGCAAAGCAGAAGUUAGUUAUUUUUAAAAAAAUGAAGAUCUGGUGGGAUAUAUUUUUUGAAUUUCAUUUUACAUAAAAAUGUCAACACCAGGAUUAUAUGCAUAAACAUACUGGUAUCUAAUUAAAGCACAACUAAUAGGUUUUCUAACAGUGGCCUUCCUUCUCAAUUCUACUUCAUCUUUAACAUAUGUACUUUAAGAUUCCAAAUUCUGAAAUUAAAAAAAAUUAUCUGGGUGUGAAUUGAAAGUAUGGCCCCAAUGUGUACCCCUUUGUGAAAAAUCCAACAUUACAGGUAGAGUGAGCAUGUGAUGCACUGCAUCGAGAUACCUGCACAUGUUUAUUCACUUUUAAUUUAUGAUUUGAGCUGACACACUGAACAAAUUACAUCUUCCUGCCCUAACCUACAGAGGGCGUUGCAUCAGACAACUCGCCACACUUUCAGCCAAUGAAGUUACCCCACAGCCUUGUGCUACAUACAAAAGAAGAUUUAUGAUUUGCCAUCGGUUUCUAAAUUGGCAAUUCAAUGUAACACAGCAUCGACGUUGCAUAAUCGUUUUUAGCUCAUCUUGUAUGUCGUUCUGCGGAGCUUGUGGGAUGGCGUGUCGUCAGUCCGUAAACACUUGCAACUUUUCCGAAACUGCUUGUAACCAAACUUGGCUGAAAUGAUAUUUGGUAUGUUGCAACUCAAGUUUGUUCACUGCAUUAAAAAAAAAAAAAACAUUUGGAUGAAACUUCACCGCAACCUUCAUCACCCAUGACGUACCAAAGUUUUUUUUUUCACUGCAUUAAUAAAAUCAGGGCUACAACAUUGAUUGGUUCAUUGGUAUAUUUUGCUGAUCCCAUCCCACGACUUCCUCCUCAAUAUCAUUAUUCUACCACGUGAGCACCCAGGGGUAUUGCCCCUAUUUUUCAAAAUUAGCAUCCAACCUGCACACAACUCGGUGGCAGCUUCUUGGGGCAUCAUCUUCCAGAGGUUACAAGCUAGAUCUGAGGUUCUGUAAUGGCAUUUGAUCAUUAGAUUGGGGUCAGUCCAUGACCCAAUGUUGGUUUGGUCUCUCAUCUGCUGGCAUGUGUUGGUCGACGGCAUAGACCCCAUAAUGUUUAGAAACAACACGUACAACACUCUAUGGCACUGAUGACAUUUUAAGAUGGAGCAACACUUUGUCCAGAAAUCAUAAUAUUUAAAAAACUUUUUAUUUGUUUUAAUCAUACAUGAAAGCCAUCAUUGUAAAGUCCAUCACAUUCCAAUCGCAGCAACUCAAAAAUUCAUGAACUCUUGGCACCCAAAGGUGAGAACUCCUUCGUGAAUAUGCGAUACUCCCACAACUACUCGUAUAAUGGGUCCAAUGAACCCCACCGUUUGGGGUGGGCCGUGGGGGAAGUUUGGCCCAAGUGUCUCACGAACAUCACCCUCGCCAGAUAAUAGUCGUGGCAGCAGAAACAGUUGCAUGGAUUGGGCAAAAGACUGGCAGAUGGAAUUUAACCGGAGCAAGUGUAAGGUGUUGGGGAUGGGAAAGAACAAUGAAAAUAGAGAUUACAGGAUGUAAGGGGUAAUUUUGGAGCGUGUCACACAGGAGAAGGAUCUGGGGAUGGUCAUAGAUACGGGAGGUAAGUAGGCAACAUUGUGCCAGGCAGCUAUAGGUGGAGCAAAUAGGGUUUUAGGUUGUAUUCGGAGGGAGAUCAAUUAUAAAUCAAAAGAGGUGGUGUUAACAUUGUACAGGAAUUUAGUGAGGGCCACAUCUAGAAUAGUGUGUGCAGUUCUGGUCACCACAGUUCCGGAAGGACAUCGAUGCCAUAGAGAAGGUUCAGCAUAGGGCUACUAGAUUGAUUCCGGGCCGAGCUCGACUCAGCUAUGAGGAGCGGUUGAAGGAGACAGGGCUUUAUUCACAAGAAAGGAGGUGGUUACGAGGAGAUAUGAUGGAGAUGUUUCAGAUAAUGAAAGGUAGAGAUAAAAUAAGUGCAGAUUAAUUAUUCAACAGAGUAGACAAUGAUAGAACCAGAGGCCAUGGCCUGAGAGUAAAGAGGAGGAGAGUUAAGACGGUAGCAAGACUGGGGACUUUUAUUCAGAGAGUAGUUAAUGCAUGGAAUGGUCUCUCUGGAAAAGUAGUGGCAGCAGAAAAAAGUACAUAAGUUUAAAUUAGAAUUAGGUAGGUACCUGGAAGUUAUGGAUAUAGAGGGGUAUGAGGAUAUUGAUAGAACUUUUCGGUAGCUUGAGCAUUGAUGGUUGAUUGUGUACGGAGUGCUGUUGGUGGGGGUCUUGUUAAGGGGGGUUGUGUGGUUGAUGUGUGUUCUUAACCAAGCCCAUGCCCCCCCCGGGGGGGGGGGGGAAAAAGAAAAGAAAAGAGAAAUAAUUAAAAAAUAACAAAAAAAUUUCUUUCAUUAAUUCAAAUGAUUUUGGGUUGGUGUGGUGUUCGCGCAUGCAUGUUGAGCUGAAUGGCCUCCAACUGUGUUGGAUUUCCUUGUUGUCCUUGUUGAACCAGAAGGUCAGGCCUGCUGAGCUGAUUUCGACAGGAACAUUUUAAUUUGGCUGGAGUGUCAGCGAUAACUUGCCUGCUCGUCACAAAAGUGUGAUGUUUUACAUCCACGACCUCGUGCACAGGACACCCAGCUUAACAUCCAUCUGAGCACUCUAUGAUACAACACCCUGUUUGAGAAGUCCCAAUCUGAGAGUUUACAAAAUUGAAACUCAGGAAACACAUAGAUGCCAAAGAGAGGGUUCAGCGCAGGGCUAGUGGAUUGAUUCCGGGCCGAGCUGGACUCAGCUAUGGGGAGCGGCGGAAGGAGACGGGGCUUUAUACACUAGAUAGGAGGCGGUUACAAGGAGAUAUGAUAGAGAUGUUUAAGAUAAUGAAAGGUAUAGAUAUAAUAAGUACAGAUGAAUUAUUCAACAGAGUAGACAGUGAUAGGACCAGGGGCCAUAGCCUGAGAAUGAAGAAAAGGAAAGUUAAGAUGGAAGUGAGGCAGGGGACUUUUACUCAAAGAGUAGUUAAUGCAUGGAAUGGUCUCCAUGGAAAGGUAGUGGUAGUUGAUAAGUUUAAAUUAGAAUUGUCAGGUAUGAAUGUCAGGUGCGACUAUUAAUUGGCCAUAUAUGGUCCAUAUUUGAACAUUUGAUUCAUUUCAACAUUCGGUAAUUGCAUUAAUCAGUUGUCUGGAUUCAAACCAGGGUCACCAGUGUCCUUGCUGUCUUAAAAUGCAUUUUACACAAGCCGACAUGGCUCCUGCCCUUUCCAUAAACAAACUUGCAGCAGGCAACUGUUAUGAAUUCCAGCCCUUGAAACCUCAAAGCUAUUUAUGAAUAUGUGCCAGCUUUGUCUCACAGCCCACUUACAACUGUGGGAGAGUUAUUGGAUUGCCAAACUUCUCCUAGGGUCUAGGGAGGGGGAAAAAAGUGGGAAAAAGCCCACUUGCACCUUUGUUUCUUGCUUUGCUUUUCUCUGCCUAGGGAAUAGGUUUUAUAUAUGAAAGUUUUGUAGUGUGAUUUUUAGUGUGGUACAGGGUCUGACUGCUGUGGUCGGUUCCUGUGCCAUCUCCGCAUGUAUGCACUGUGCCGCUUCAAGAAUUAUCUCGGUACCUGGAAGUUAUGGAGAGGGAGGGGUAUAGGGGUGUUGAGAGGACUUGUAGGUAGUUUGAGCAUUGAUGGAUGAUUGUGUACAUGUGAAUGGAGGUCAGGCCUGCUGUUGGUGUGGGUCUCGUCAAGUCGUGUUAUGUGGUCAUUGACUUGUUAUGUACUCUUCACCGUAAAAUCACCCCCACCCCUGAAUAACAUCACCCUCACCAGAUAAUAGUGGAAAGAAAAACAGCAAUCGAUGCGUUUGAAUGUUGGAAGACUACAAUGAAUUCGGGAGGCAAGACUUAGUGAAAGUGGGGUUUCCCAGCCACUCCACAAACAGGAGGAGGCCAUUCGGCCCAUUGUGCCUGCCCCACAUCAACACCAGCCCAAUCCAUGUAAAAAAGAACAAUGCAAAAUGUUGGGGGGCAUUGUUGAAGGCGGUUCUUGGGUGAGAAACACACAUCAACCACACAACCCCCCUUGACAAGAUCCCCACGAACAGCACUCUGUUCACAAUCACCCAUCAAUGCUCAAACUACCUAAAAGUCUUUUCAACAUCCCCAGACCCCUCUAUCUCCAUAACUUCCAGGUACCUAACGAAUUCUAAUUUAAACUCCCCUUCUGUUUCUGCUGCCACCACCUUUCCAGGAGGCAAUUCCAUGCAUCAACUAGAAGGGCACUUGGUAGCACGCAUACCUCCACCACGUAAUACCUGAUCCAAUGGAACAUUUCGGGCCCAAUACAUUUUUGAAAUAUCAUACAAUACAGUACUAUAUUGUUUUUGGCCCUAUCUCUCAAUGGUGAAGAAUCACUUAAAACAUCCCAGUAGUCGGAUCAAGAUCCAGAUCUUCAUCAAAAUCUAAUAAGUUCGCCCUUGCCACACACUCAACCUGUCCACAAAAUUUCAUCUGGAUCCGUCGACAAUUUUUUGAGAAAUCCUGCACACAGACAGACAAACAGAAAGGGGUGAAAACACAAUCUCCUUCACCUUUGGGGUGAAGGUAAUAACGAUGUUACUCUCCAAUUUAUGUCUCACGACCCUUCAUGAUCUUCAACAUCAUAUCCGAGAGAGAGAGAGACAGAGACAGAGAGAUAGAGAAAAAGAGAGACAGAGAGAUAGAGAAAAAGAGAGAGAAAGAGAGACAGAGAGAUAGAGAAAAAGAGAGACAGAGAGAUAGAGAAAAAGAGAGACAGAGAGAUAGAGAAAAAGAGAGA
rnacentral:lncRNA from 1 species